AGAGUUUGAUCCUGGCUCAGAAUGAACGUUGGCGGCGUGGAUUAGGCAUGCAAGUCGAGCGAGAACCGUAGCAAUACGGGGACAGCGGCGAAAGGGACAGUAAUGUGCAGGUACCUACCCUCAGGACCGGGAUAGCUGCGGGAAACUGCAGGUAAUACCGGAUAAUAUCCCCGGAUCAAAGGUGUGAGUCCGCCUGGGGAGGGGCCUGCAUCCUAUUAGCUUGUUGGUGAGGUAACGGCUCACCAAGGCCAUGAUGGGUAGCGGGUGUGAGAGCACGACCCGCGUCACUGGGACUGAGACACUGCCCAGACACCUACGGGUGGCUGCAGUCGAGGAUCUUCGGCAAUGGGCGCAAGCCUGACCGAGCGACGCCGCGUGCGGGAUGAAGGCCUUCGGGUUGUAAACCGCUGUCAGUGGGGAGGAAGGCUCCGUGAAGAGCGGGGUUUGACCUAUCCGCAGAGGAAGCAAGGGCUAAGUUCGUGCCAGCAGCCGCGGUAAGACGAACCUUGCAAACGUUAUUCGGAAUCACUGGGCUUAAAGGGUGCGUAGGCUGUGCAGAAAGUUGGGUGUGAAAUACCUCGGCUUAACCGAGGAAUUGCGCCCAAAACUACUGUGCUCGAGGAAGAUAGAGGUGAGCGGAACUUAGGGUGGAGCGGUGAAAUGCGUUGAUAUCCUAAGGAACACCGGUGGCGAAAGCGGCUCACUGGAUCUUAUCUGACGCUGAGGCACGAAAGCCAGGGUAGCAAACGGGAUUAGAUACCCUAGUAGUCC
rnacentral:rRNA from 1 species